CAAUAGCGUAUAUUAAAGUUGUUGCAGUUAGAACGCUCGUAGUUGGAUUUCGGGGCGGGCCGACCGGUCUGCCGAUGGGUACGCACUGGUCGGCGCGUCCUUCCUUCCGGAGACCGUGCCUACUCUUAACUGAGCGGGGGCGGGAGACGGAUCGUUUACUUUGAAAAAAUCAGAGUGUUUCAAGCAGGCAGCUCGCUCUUGCAUGGAUUAGCAUGGGAUAAUGAAAUAGGACUUUGGUGCUAUUUUGUUGGUUUCGAACACCGAAGUAAUGAUUAAAAGGGACAGUCAGGGGCACUCGUAUUCCGCCGAGAGAGGUGAAAUUCUCAGACCAGCGGAAGACGAACUACUGCGAAAGCAUUUGCCAGGGAUGUUUNCACUGA
rnacentral:rRNA from 1 species